GUCGCGUUAGCUCAGUGGAUUAGAGCAACAGCCUUCUAAGCUGUGGGUCAUUGGUUCGAAUCCAAUACGCGAUGCCA
rnacentral:tRNA from 1 species